UACGGGGGGGGCAAGCGUUGUUCGGAAUUACUGGGCGUAAAGGGCUCGUAGGCGGCCAACUAAGUCGGAUGUGAAAUCCCCAGGCUCAACUUGGGAACUGCAUCCGAUACUGGAUGGCUUGAAUUCGGGAGAGGGAUGCAGAAUUCCAGGUGUAGCGGUGAAAUGCGUAGAUAUCUGGAGGAAUACCGGUGGCGAAGGCGGCAUCCUGGACCAUUACUGACGCUGAGGAGCGAAAGCCAGGGGAGCAAACGGG
rnacentral:rRNA from 1 species